rnacentral:rRNA from 1 species
UACGGGGGGAGCAAGCGUUGUUCGGAAUCACUGGGCGUAAAGGGUGCGUAGGCGGCGCGGAAAGUCAGGGGUGAAAUCCCGGAGCUCAACUCCGGAACUGCCUUUGAUACUCCCGCGCUUGAGAACUGGAGGGACAUCGGAAUUCACGGUGGAGCAGUGAAAUGCGUGGAUAUCGUGAGGAACACUAGUGGCGAAGGCGGAUGUCUGGACAGUGAUCUGACGCUGAGGCACGAAGGCCAGGGGAGCGAACGGG